CUCAACAAGCAGUGAAGAAGUACUACCAAAUGUAGUGGUUUGAUGAUUUACUUCAAGAGGACUCAGAGAACUUUGGAUUUUGGCAUUUUUGCAGAUGGCUUAAAAAGACUCCUCCUAAUCACCAGGCUCAGAGCUGUUGUAAGAAAUCAGCUCUACAAGUUUUCUUCAGGUAUUACUAAAGUAUCCCAAAUAUUCCUUCUGCAAAGAUGUCAGCAGAACAAGGAAAGAUGACAACAUCACCCAGAAAUGUCCUCUGAGCUGGUCCCAGGGAUGAGCUGCUGGAAGGAAUCAAACAUUUACAGCUCCAGAGGGACAGAGAGGUUUGUGCAGGCUCCAUCACCUUUGGACUCUGAGUCUGUGGUUGCCAUGUGUGCACAUUUUCAACUUUCAGCAGAAGCACCAGGAUUUGAUAUAAUGCAGGAGGAGACACUUUAAAAAAGAUCCUUAAUUGAGGCCUGUCCCUGUCAAGGCAACGUGAAAACAGAUGCUAAGAUUCCCCUGCUUCUUUCUAAAAUCCUGAAUCAUCUAAAAUCCUGAAAGCCAUUUUAACCAGGAAACAUUUUUUUUCUUCCAAAGAAAAUAAAAAAUAAAAGAUAA